rnacentral:sRNA from 1 species
UGAUUAUCUGCAGGCGUCGCUCGACGUCUU